AGGGCGAAAGGUGGAUGCCUAGGCUCUCGGAGGCGAAGAAGGACGUGAUAAGCUGCGAAAAGCUGCGGUAAGGAGCAAAUAUCCUGUGACCCGCAGAUUUCCGAAUGGGGCAACCCAUCAACGCAAGUUGAUAUACCGCCAAGCGGUAAGCAAACGCGGGGAACUGAAACAUCUCAUUACCCGUAGGAAGAGAAAAUAAGAAUGAUUCCGCAAGUAGUGGCGAGCGAACGCGGAAGAGCCCAAACCGGUGCCGUUUCGGCGGGGCCGGGGUAGAAGGACCGACAGAAGGGCAAAGGAAGCAUAGCCGAACAGUAUUGGAAAAUACGAUCAGAGACGGUGAUAAUCCGGUAGGCGAAAUGCAGAGUUUGACAGUCGGUAUCCUGAGUAGUGCAGGACACGAGAAAUCCGGUACGAAUCAGCGGGGACCAUCCCGUAAGGCUAAAUACUCCCGAGAGACCGAUAGCGCACCAGUACUGUGAAGGAAAGGUGAAAAGAACCUCGAACAGAGGAGUGAAAAAGACCCUGAAACCAUUCGCCUACAAGCGGUCGGAGCCACUACGUGUGGUGACGGCGUGCCUUUUGCAUAAUGAACCUACGAGUUACCCAUACCGGCCAGAUUAAGCGAUUCAGUCGCGGAGUCGAAGCGAAAGCGAGUCCUAACAAGGCGGAUAGUCGGUAUGAGUAGACGCGAAACCAAGUGAUCUACCCAUGAGCAGGUUGAAGGUUAGGUAACACUAACUGGAGGACCGCACCGGUAAACGUUGAAAAGUUUUCGGAUGACUUGUGGGUAGGAGUGAAAGGCCAAUCAAACUUGGAGAUAGCUCGUACUCCCCGAAAUGCAUUUAGGUGCAGCCUCGAAGUAAAGUGAUAGAGGUAGAGCGACUGAUAAGAUGCGAGGGCUUCACCGCCUAUCAAGUCUUGACAAACUCCGAAUGCGUGUCAGUUCUAUGUCAGGAGUGAGGGCAUGGGUGCUAAGGUCCAUGUCCUAAAGGAGAACAAUCCGGACCAACAGCUAAGGUCCCGAAAUGAAUACUAAGUUGAACUAACGAAGUCAGAUUGCUAAGACAGCUAGGAUGUUGGCUUGGAAGCAGCCAUUCAUUUAAAGAGUGCGUAACAGCUCACUAGUCGAGGAGUUUUGCAUGGAUAAUAAUCGGGCAUAAGCCCUUUACCGAAGCUGUGGAUGUCGUAAGACAUGGUAGGGGAGCAUUCCGGCGGCGACGAAGGCCGUCCUCGAGGACGACUGGAGCUUUCGGAAAAGCAAAUGUAGGUAUAAGUAACGAUAAAGGGGGCGUGAAACCCCCUCGCCAUAAGACUAAGGAUUCCUGAUCAACGCUAAUCGGAUCAGGGUAAGUCGGGCCCUAAGGCGCAGCCGAACGGCGUAGCCGAUGGAAGAAACGGUAAAGAUUCCGUUACUGGAUAUAGGAGCGAUGUGGAGACGGAGAAGUGACACACCCGCCUGCCGACGGAAGCGCAGGUUAAAGGAAGUAGGUAAACGCCGGGUAGGCAAAUCCGCCUGGCGUGCCGAAGCUGACAGUAUCGAGAGCCCCCGGGCAAUCGAAUAGCGGUGGUAAUCAGGCUCCCAAGAAAAUCCGCUAAGCAUAUUCUAUAUCCACCCGUACCCCAAACGGACACACGUAGUCGGGUAGAAUAUACCAAGGCGCUCGAAAGACUCACGGUUAAGGAACUAGGCAAAUUGACCCUGUAACCUCGGGAAAAAGGGUCCCCAGUAAGAUGGGGCGCAGAGAAUAGGUCCAGGCAACUGUUUAACAAAAACACAGGGCUGUGCAAAAUUGAAAGAUGAAGUAUACAGCCUGACACCUGCCCGGUGCUGGAAGGUUAAGAGGAGAUGUCAUCGCAAGAGAAGCAUUGAAUUGAAGCCCCAGUAAACGGCGGCCGUAACUAUAACGGUCCUAAGGUAGCGAAAUUCCUUGUCGGGUAAGUUCCGACCUGCACGAAUGGUGUAAUGAUCCGGACGCUGUCUCAACCGUGAGCUCAGUGAAAUUGUAGUAUCGGUGAAGAUGCCGAUUACCCGCGAUGGGACGAAAAGACCCCGUGAACCUUUACUAUAGCUUAACAUUGAAUUUGGGUAAUUGAUGUGUAGGAUAGGCCGGAGACUUUGAAGCAGGUACGCCAGUAUUUGUGGAGUCGCUGUUGAAAUACGGCCCUUUGAUUAUUUGAGUUCUAACUCGUAGAUACGAGGACACUGUUUGGUGGGUAGUUUGACUGGGGUGGUCGCCUCCAAAAGUGUAACGGAGGCUUCUAAAGGUGCCCUCAGGACGAUUGGUAACCGUCCGUAGAGUGUAAUGGCAUAAGGGCGCUUGACUGGGAGACAGACAAGUCGAUCAGGUAGGAAACUAGAGCAUAGUGAUCCGGUGUUUCCGUAUGGAAGGGACAUCG
rnacentral:rRNA from 1 species